CCUACGGGUGGCAGCAGUGAGGAAUAUUGGUCAAUGGACGCAAGUCUGAACCAGCCAUGCCGCGUGCAGGAUGACGGCUCUAUGAGUUGUAAACUGCUUUUGUACGAGGGUAAACCCCGAUACGUGUAUCGGGUUGCAAGUAUCGUACGAAUAAGGAUCGGCUAACUCCGUGCCAGCAGCCGCGGUAAUACGGAGGAUCCGAGCGUUAUCCGGAUUUAUUGGGUUUAAAGGGUGCGUAGGCGGGUUGAUAAGUUAGAGGUGAAAGGUCGGGGCUCAACCCCGAAACUGCCUCUAAUACUGUUGGACUAGAGAAUAGUUGCGGUAGGCGGAAUGUAUGGUGUAGCGGUGAAAUGCUUAGAGAUCAUACAGAACACCGAUUGCGAAGGCAGCUUACCAAACUAUAUCUGACGUUGAGGCACGAAAGCGUGGGUAGCAAACAGGAUUAGAUACCCGAGUAGUC
rnacentral:rRNA from 1 species